rnacentral:rRNA from 1 species
UACGGGGGGGGCAAGCGUUGUUCGGAAUUACUGGGCGUAAAGGGCUCGUAGGUGGCCAACUAAGUCAGACGUGAAAUCCCUCGGCUUAACCGGGGAACUGCGUCUGAUACUGGAUGGCUUGAGUUUGGGAGAGGGACGCGGAAUUCCAGGUGUAGCGGUGAAAUGCGUAGAUAUCGGGAGGAACACCAGAGGCGAAGGCGGCGAACUGGACAGUAACUGACACUCAACUGCGAAAGCGUGGGGAGCGAACAGG